UACAGAGGUCUCAAGCGUUGUUCGGAUUCAUUGGGCGUAAAGGGUGCGUAGGCGGCGCGGUAAGUCGGGUGUGAAAUCUCGGGGCUUAACUCCGAAACUGCAUUCGAUACUGCCGUGCUUGAGGACUGGAGAGGAGACUGGAAUUUACGGUGUAGCGGUGAAAUGCGUAGAUAUCGUAAGGAAGACCAGUGGCGAAGGCGGCGCUCUGGACCGAGACUGGACGCUGAGGCGCGAAAGCGUGGGGAGCAAACAGG
rnacentral:rRNA from 1 species